rnacentral:rRNA from 1 species
AACGAACGCUGGCGGCAGGCUUAACACAUGCAAGUCGAACGCCCCGCAAGGGGAGUGGCAGACGGGUGAGUAACGCGUGGGAAUCUACCCAUCCCUACGGAACAACUCCGGGAAACUGGAGCUAAUACCGUAUACGCCCUUUGGGGGAAAGAUUUAUCGGGGAUGGAUGAGCCCGCGUUGGAUUAGCUAGUUGGUGGGGUAAAGGCCUACCCAGGCGACGAUCCAUAGCUGGUCUGAGAGGAUGAUCAGCCACAUUAGGACUGAGACACGGCCCAAACUCCUACGGGAGGCAGCAGUGGGGAAUAUUGGACAAUGGGCGCAAGCCUGAUCCAGCCAUGCCGCGUGAGUGAUGAAGGCCUUAGGGUUGUAAAGCUCUUUCACCGAUGAAGAUAAUGACGGUAGUCGGAGAAGAAGCCCCGGCUAACUUCGUGCCAGCCGCCGCCGUAACAC